rnacentral:rRNA from 1 species
GGUAAAAAAGCUCGUAGUUGGAUUUCUGUUGAGGACGACCGGUCCAUACCACGUAUGCGCAUCUGGCUCGGCCUCGGCAUCCUCUCGAUAGACGUUUCUGCGCUUGAUUGCGUGGAGCGGAUCUCGGGACUUUUACUUUGAGGAAAUUGGAGUGUUCACGGCAGGCUAUCGCCAGAACAUAUUAGCAUGGAAUAAUACUAUAGGAUCUCGGUUCUAUUUUGUUGGUUUCUAGGAUUGAGAUAAUGAUUAAUAGGGACAAUUGGGGGCAUUCGUAUCAACACGUCAGAGGUGGAAUUCUUGGAUUGUGUUGCGACGAACUACUGCGAAAGCAUUUGCCAAGGAUGUUUUCAUUGAUCAAGAACGAAAGUAAGGGGAUCGAAGACGAUUAGAUACCGUCGUAGUCUUUACCAUAAACUAUGCCAACUAGAGAUCCGGCAUCGUUCACUUACGACUUGCUGGGCACCUUAUGGAUACUAAAGUCUUUGGGUUCCGGGGGGAGUAUGGUCGCAAGGCUGAAACUUAAAGGAAUUGACGGAAGGGCACCACCAGGAGUGGAGCCUGCGGCUUAAUUUGACUCAACACGGGGAAACUCACCAGGUCCAGACAUAAUAAGGAUUGACAGAUUGAUAGCUCUUUCUUGAUUUUAUGGGUGGUGGUGCAUGGCCGUUCUUAGUUCGUGGAGUGAUUUGUCUGCUUAAUUGCGUUAACGA